UUAGUUUGAUUCUAUCCAAAAGAUUAGUACUAAUUAAAAAUUUUAUGCUUAAUAGUUGUAAAACAUUAUGUAUAUUAAAAUUAUUUAAGUAAUUCUUAUAUAAUUUUUAGCAGAAAUUAAGGUUAUAAUAAUAUGUUAACGCAUGAAAUGGUUUAAAUAUUAUUAUUGGUCAAAGUCGUGCCAGCAACAGCGGUUAAACGGUAAAUAUCUAACAAACAAAAUCUGUAUAGAUAUACUAAAUAUAAAUAAAAGGUAAAAUUUCCUUAAUCUAUUUAGAAUUAAUAAUAUCAACAACAAACUAUAAACCAAAACAAGGAUUAGAUACCCUUUUAUUAUUAGCUUAAAAUAAGAUUGGAGAUUACGAGCAAUAGCUUAAAAACCCAAGAAAUUUGGCGGUGUUUUAUUCAAUCAGGGGGGCCUGUAUUUCAAAUCGAUAACCCACGCUGAACUCUAUCUAGCUUCAAGUAUGAUAGUCUGUGUACUGCCGUUUUUAAUAAGUUCUUAAGGUUUCUUAUAAUAAAUAAUAAAAAAUUAAAAGACAGGUCAAAGUGCAGCUUAUAGCUAGUAUUAUAUGGGCAUUACCUUUAAAUACAUAUAAAACUUAUAAAUUAAAAUUUAUAAUAGAUUUAGUACUUGAUAGUAAUUAUACUAUUAUUUAUAAUAUAAUGAAUAUUGAACUUAAAACAAGCACAUAUCGCCCGUCACUCCUUUAUAUAGGAUAAGUCGUAACAUAGUAGACGUAAUGGAAAUUGCAUCUGU
rnacentral:ncRNA from 1 species